rnacentral:lncRNA from 1 species
UCAAAUUUAAAGCAAUCCCAGCCUCAGCCUCCUGAAUGCUAGGGUUAUAGGCAUGGGAAUCAUGCCCAGCUUUUGUUUCUGAUGAACGUUGCAGGAGAGCACUUGGGUACCCUUCAGUUUGCACCACUGUUUGACAUAUGUAUCACUCAGGAUAAAAUGAGAGUCUUUGCGGUGGCUAAAGGUAAGAAGCACAUUUUCAUGUAAAAUUAUUAGCCCUUAAUGUAUUUUUUGUGUGCACAGCCAGACAUUUCUGAUCAUAUCCAAACUCCAAACACUAUGGAUAUUCACCCUUAGAACUUGUUCAGGUUUCACUUUAAGGACUCUGUCCUUUCUGUUCUACAAGGACUCAGAUUGUCCAACAAGUGGGCUCUGCAAACUAAUGCAGUGACCUCUGCCCUUCUUACAAUUAAUGAUGCAAGCAGAUGUGUACUAAAUCAGUAUUCCUCAACAUGUUGUUCACAGGGCUACACAUGUUGGAGUGAGCCACAGAAAAUAUUAAGGAGGAUCCUUAAGAUAGAUGGGCUCCUGUUUUCUGAGUGAGAUAAAAUUAACUCACAGUGAUCCCU